UGGGGGAUAUUGCACAAUGGGCGAAAGCCUGAUGCAGCGACGCCGCGUGGGGGAUGAAGGCUUUCGGGUUGUAAACCUCUUUCGCUAUCGAACAAGGCCCGCUUAGGGUGGGUUGAGGGUAGGUGGAGAAGAAGCGCCGGCUAACUACGUGCCAGCAGCCGCGGUAAUACGUAGGGCGCGAGCGUUGUCCGGAAUUAUUGGGCGUAAAGGGCUUGUAGGCGGCUUGUUGCGCCUGCUGUGAAGACGCGGGGCUUAACAUCGCGCGUGCAGUGGGUACGGGCAGGCUUGAGUGUGGUAGGGGUGACUGGAAUUCCAGGUGUAGCGGUGGAAUGCGCAGAUAUCUGGAGGAACACCGAUGGCGAAGGCAGGUCACUGGGCCAUUACUGACGCUGAGGAGCGAAAGCAUGGGUAGCGAACAGG
rnacentral:rRNA from 1 species